rnacentral:rRNA from 1 species
GACGAACGCUGGCGGCGUGCUUAACACAUGCGAGUCGAACGAAGUGGCGAACGGGUGAGUAACGCGUAAUCAACCUGCCCUUCAGAGGGGGAAAACAGUUGGAAACGACUGCUAUUACCGCAUACUGAAGGAGGGGAUUGUGUCUGAUUAGCUGGCUGGAGGGGUCACGGCCCACAAAGGCGAUGAUACGUAGCCGGUCUGAGAGGAUGAACGGCCACAUCGGGACUGAGACACGGCCCAGACUCCUACGGGAGGCAGCAGUGGGGAAUCUUCCGCAAUGGACGAAAGUCUGACGGAGCAACGCCGCGUGAGUGAUGACGGCCUUCGGGUUGUAAAGCUCUGUUAAUCGGGACGCGGUACCGGAAUAGAAAGCCACGGCUAACUACGUGCCAGCAGCCGCGGUAAUAC